rnacentral:rRNA from 1 species
GACGAACGCUGGCGGCGUGCUUAACACAUGCAAGUCGAACGGAAAGGCCCUGCUUUUGUGGGGUGCUCGAGUGGCGAACGGGUGAGUAACACGUGAGUAACCUGCCCUUGACUUUGGGAUAACUUCAGGAAACUGGGGCUAAUACCGGAUAGGAGCUCCUGCUGCAUGGUGGGGGUUGGAAAGUUUCGGCGGUUGGGGAUGGACUCGCGGCUUAUCAGCUUGUUGGUGGGGUAGUGGCUUACCAAGGCUUUGACGGGUAGCCGGCCUGAGAGGGCGACCGGCCACAUUGGGACUGAGAUACGGCCCAGAGUCCUACGGGAGGCAGCAGUGGGGAAUAUUGCACAAUGGGCGGAAGCAUGAUGCAGCAACGCCGCGUGCGGGAUGACGGCCUUCGGGUUGUAAACCGCUUUCGCCUGUGACGAAGCGUGAGUGACGGUAAUGGGUAAAGAAGCACCGGCUAACUACGUG